CACGGGGGCGCGGGCUGGGGUCGGAGGGAGGGGAGGCGGCCGGGAGGUGCCCGUACGGAGGCUGCCGUGACAAAGGAGGGAGGGAGGAGGGGGCCUGUCGGAGGCUUGGGGUCCAUUACGACCCCUCCUCCUUUCGGAGCGCUGCGGGGAGGGAGAGAGCAGAGAGGGCAGCUGUGGGGCCGCGGGCCCCUUUCUUCCCUUUUGGUGGGCGGGGAGGGGGUCUUUCUCCAGCUCUGUUGUCCCAGCUCGCCCCUUGGUAGGGCGCCCUUUUCGGCGGUGGCGCCCCCCCCCCCCCCCCCCCCGCCAACCCUUUCGCUCCCCCCCCCCCUCGCCCGGUGCUGGCUACCCGCUGGUCCGCCUGCCCAUCUGCUUGUCUUUGAUGCUGACCAGAGCCAGCCGCUGGGCCGCCCCCGAGGGCGUCGCGGGGUGGAGGGGGCCGUACUUGCCGCCCCAGAAACACUGGGGUUCUGGUAUUCCCAGCAAGUCGCAGCAGGACUCCUGAGCUGCGGCGGGACGGGAUCCCGGCCCCCAACAGGGUGGGAACCCUUCCGGGGGCCUGGGAGCGACCCCAGGGAUGGGGUCAGCUCUGAGAUACCCAAAUCCAGGGAGAGACUCCUCCUUGGAGUGCUCUGGGAGUACCAUCCUCAUUGGUGGGGUCCCACACCUGGUGCUCACGCCUGCUUCAGUGGCCCCCUCCCUUUCCAGCCGUGGCUGUUCCCUCUUACCCCCUUGGAUCUGCUUCUCCAACUCCUCUUUGAAAUCAGAGGGACCUGGAUUCUAAGUUCAUUUCUACUAUUGGCCAAAUAAUUCCCUUAUUCCUGUGCUCGGGUUAUGUCAUCUGCAAAAUGGGCACAGUCGUAGGUACCUUGCAAGGUUAUCUUGGAGAUUUCAUAAUACUAGGUGAGUUCUGUGGGCACAAGGUUUAUAGGGGCUCAGUAAAUGUUGUUUCUCUAAGCCCUUUAACUUGUUGUCACAUUGGAAGAAUUUGAAUAAAAGGCAUAUAAAUCAGAGGUUACAGAUUGGAAGCGUACCAGACUUUCUUCUCUUUAUGGCAUCCCCACCCCUGAAAACAUUCUGUGUACAAAAGGGAAGAGUAGCAGAGUCAGCACUUAGGUUAAGUCAGGGUCUCCUGGCCUUCAGUAACCCUGUCUGAAACGUUGCAAGAUGGUAUCCAGGAGAUAGCUUGGGUUCAAAUUCUCUCGGCCAUUUAGUAACCAUAUGACCUUGAGCAAGCUACUGAACCUUUCUGGGCCUUGAUUUCCUCAUCUUUAAAAUGGGAUAAUAAUAAAGCACGUACCUCACAGUCGUGAGGUUUAAAUACGUUUAUGUUUGAAAAGUCCUCAGGACAGGGCUUGGUACAUAGAAACCGCUCAGUAAGUGUUAGUCGUUGUUAUUGUCAAGUGUUAAGCACAGGUUUCAUUCUUGUACACGCUGCACAGAGGCAGGUGACUGCCUGCGGUGGGGGCGGCGCUGGUUUGUUAGUUUGACCACAGUCCCUUGGGUGCUCUGUCUCGUUAAGUGAGGAUAAACAGGUGUAUCCGGACCCAGGCCUACGGCCUUGCCACUUUGGGUUAUGGCUACAAUUGCCUUUACCCUUAGAACAAAUACUCUGAUGGACUCCGCUUAUGGCCCUGAGCUAGCUCACAGAGUCAUAUCAGCUGCAGCAGGUCUGGUGUCCAGCUCUGGAACUGGAUGGGGACCGCUCAGAGGAUAACUGAGGGGCAGGAUCGGUGAGCUCUGAGUGGGAACCGAGAGAAUCUGCGUCUGAAGAGCAGCUAGAACACUUGGUGGUUGUUACCCACGUAGCUCCCAGCCCUGAGCCACUUCCACACAUCUGACUGUUGCCAGGCUCCUGUCACAUACCAGCACCCCCUUCGCAGGUCCCUCGGUGCUCCGGUCUGGAAUGUCUGUGUCACCCACCUCCCCCCCCCCCCACCCGUAUGUUAAAGUCCGAACUCCCAGGGGACUGAGACGCAGGUUCACCUGUUAGAACUGGCGCAGACGCACCGCACAAAGGUGCCCCCGUGAGAAGUUCAGAGGGCCUAGAUAUGCAGUCGAUACUCUGCUCUCCAAGCUGCGGAUCCUAGAGAAAAAGAUGUCCUGCUGUGUUUUUGAGGCUGGGUCUGCCCGAGGGGACCUCUUUUUCUAGCCCCCCUCCAAAGCCCUGGAAUAGGUUAGCAGCACCUCUACACCUGAAUUUGUGAGCACACAUCCACACUGCACCGAUGUGCACCACAGCUCGGAGCGCUGGCCUCCCUAGACGUCCUCCUGGCCCCUGAUACCCGACCCGGGAUGGAAGCCCCAGAGAGGAAUGCCCCGGUGACUGAACGGACUCCCCCUCUGAGCAUGGCCGUAGGCAGUUUCCUGCCUCAUCCCCCGGGGCUUGUUAGAUGUUCCUGGCGGUGUGCCUAUCCUGGGUAGGCCCAUGGUGACCAUGGGGACUCCUUCACGGAACCGGGAGACAGGCAUGGAAGUAGAGACCGCACCCCCCUCCCCUGCUACCUGCCCUCUCCUGCUGAAUUCCCACCCAUGCUCCCGAGGGCCCAGAUGCCUAGAGACAGUGGGCUAUGUCUAUGGUUUGGAACAAAAUCUCCAGAAGUGGAGCAUCCAGUUGAUGACGGAACCCUCAUUACUGUUGAUCUACGGCGGAUUCUUGGGACUGUCAAGGAGGGGAUCCCCCAUUUGUGGUCUCAUCCAGUGGUCAGGAGGGGGAGGAGGACCGGGGGCUCCAGGGCCAGCUGGACGAGCAGAGAGGCCUUAAGAGGAAGUUACUUGUCUCUGUGGAAGGAAUGCUUCAAGGAGGGUGUGGAAUUUUGGUUCUCUUGCGCUGGAAACUGCGGUUUGGAGUUCCAAGACCGAAGGCUCGGAAGAGGAGAGAUGCUGAGUGGAAAUGAUGGCCCCGGUGUGUGAGCUGCAAGGCCAGUGCAGCCUGGCCAUGUGGAAAGGAACAAAGCAAACCUUCUCCUUUGGCUCAUACGAGUCUUACUGAGUUCCCUUCUUUGGGCAAUUAAAAGGAGUUAUUAAUUUC